rnacentral:rRNA from 1 species
GAUGAACGCUGGCGGCGUGCCUAAUACAUGCAAGUCGAGCGAACAGACGAGGAGCUUGCUCCUCUGACGUUAGCGGCGGACGGGUGAGUAACACGUGGAUAACCUACCUAUAAGACUGGGAUAACUUCGGGAAACCGGAGCUAAUACCGGAUAAUAUAUUGAACCGCAUGGUUCAAUAGUGAAAGACGGUUUUGCUGUCACUUAUAGAUGGAUCCGCGCCGCAUUAGCUAGUUGGUAAGGUAACGGCUUACCAAGGCAACGAUGCGUAGCCGACCUGAGAGGGUGAUCGGCCACACUGGAACUGAGACACGGUCCAGACUCCUACGGGAGGCAGCAGUAGGGAAUCUUCCGCAAUGGGCGAAAGCCUGACGGAGCAACGCCGCGUGAGUGAUGAAGGUCGUCGGAUCGUAAAACUCUGUUAUUAGGGAAGAACAAAUGUGUAAGUAACGAUGCACGUCUUGACGGUACCUAAUCAGAAAGCCACGGCUAACUACGUGC